rnacentral:rRNA from 1 species
AGCAGCCGCGGUAAUUCCAGCUCCAAUAGCGUAUAUUAAAGUUGCUGCAGUUAAAAAGUUCGUAGUUGAAUUUCGGGACCAAUAUGUUGGUCGUGCCUCGGUACGUACUGGCAUCGUUGGUUUCUACCUUCUGACGAACCAUGAUGUCAUUCAUUUGGUGUCUUGGGAAAUCAGGACUGUUACUUUGAAAAAAUUAGAGUGUUUAAAGCAGGCUCACGCUUGAAUACAUUAGCAUGGAAUAAUGAAAUAGGACGCUUGAUUCUAUUUUGUUGGUUUCUAGGAUCGACGUAAUGAUUAAUAGGGAUAGUUGGGGGCAUUAGUAUUCAAUUGUCAGAGGUGAAAUUCUUGGAUUUAUUGAAGACUAACUACUGCGAAAGCAUUUGCCAAGGAUGUUUUCAUUAAUCAGGAACGAAAGUUAGGGGAUCGAAGACGAUCAGAUACCGUCGUAGUCUUAACCAUAAACUAUGCCGACUAGGGAUCGGAUGAUGUUAAUUUUUAAUGUACUCAUUCGGCGUACCCG